UUAUAUGUACAUACGUAGAGAAUAUGGUUUAUUUUUCAAUUUAAUAGGUAUACAAGGUAGAUACCUAUAGUUUUUGUUCCGGUUCAGAAAAAAAAUACGCAAAAAGUUUCGAAAAAAAUUGAAUAAAACGUGUUACACGAUAUUAUUACAUAUUUUCUUUGCGAUAGAUACACCAGAGAGUAAUAUUUUCGAAAAAUGUACUUCGAAGGCAAGAAAAUUCCGUACCUAUGAAUUGUUUUAAUGCGGAUAUACCUACCUAGCACUAUAGCUACAUAAAGCACAUAGAAUAGAACAUGGUCGAUAUAUCUAAACGCACAGAUACCUGUCUAAAGCGAUAGCUACUAAAUGUAGUAUGGACGAUGUACAGCAAAGUACAUCGCUUCCAGUCCAUAGAUCACACAAUUCCGGGCUGAAACGCCACUCACGAGUCACCUCAUAAACCGCACCCAGCGGCAUCACAAAGCUCGCAACUAAUAAAUCAGCAAAUGCUAAAGACAUAAUGAGAAAGUUCGGUGGUGUUCGUAGAUGCGAUUCGACCAAAAUUGCCGUGAUAACAAUUACAUUUCCUGCAACAAAAUUUUACAGCUUUCACAGAGGACAUAAAAGUAGAUGCCUACCUAACGAACGGCCAGACCGAUCUUGCGUGUAGAAUAUGUUGAACUUGCGAGACAUUUUCACCAAAAGCAACAAGUUUUAUAGUACCUAAAGCGGUUGUUUCCCUUCACAAGCUCGUUAUACGGGUUUCUUAUAUAUUUAGGGUGUUUUUAAAACAGAUAAUAAGAAAAUGAAAUAAAAUAAUAAUAAAAUAAAAAAAAAUACUGUAAGGACGCGUGUAUUUGCAGUAUCUAUCCGAAAGGUUUAUUUGUCCCAACUAA